CAUCUUACCAGCAGAGUGAGGUUUCAUUCUAGUGCGGAAAAUGAAUAUUUUGGGAUAUAUUGUUAUUAUAACAAAGUCAGGUGUUCAUGCUUUCCGGUACCUGCUAAACAAAAUUACUUGUUAUUUUGGAAGGUGAUACCAACUCCAUCCCGAAGUACCUCAGUUUUGGGCCCUGGUCAGUAACUGUUUCCUUGUUUAUGUUUUGGUUUUUUUAUUUGGGGGGGGGAACAACAGUAGAACCUUGUUCAGCAAUAGGUUAGAAGUGAAACUAAGUGAAGAAAAGAAAUAGAUUAAAUUUAAAGUAAUACUUAACAUUGUGGCCUGGAGCUAGAUAAUGGGGUUAGGAUAGGGGAGAGGAUGAGGGGGGGUUAGAGGUUAGAGAGCAGCUUAGCUAAUCUUGUUAGGAUCAUUUUAUACAAGUAUAUGAGCCCGACAUGUGCUUUUUGAGGAGAGGUGGCAAUGCCCACCUGCCCAAACUGAAGAGAGAGGGUUCACCUAUUGAGCAGCCUGUUCUCAAAGAGAGCACAGGUGAAUCUGUAGAUUUGGCUAAAAAUAAAGGACGUCCAAAGAACAGUGGCAGUAAUCCAUUUAGUAAUGCAAAGAAAGCUUCAAAUUCAGAACAAACAUUAAAAGAAAUUGAAGAUGAACCAUAUUUCAAAGACUUGUUGGAAAUGAAAGUUUCUAAUACAUGUCUUUCUCCCGGACCAGGUAAUUCCUCUACCGGUCCCACAAAGAACCCGUUGAGCUUUCUUCCAACACUAUCUUCAAAAGAUGAUGAUGAAACCUCUAACAGAUGGUUAGAUGAGGAUGGAGGUGAUGAGAUACCUUAUUGUGUUAUCACCUGAUAUCAGUGACUUUGAUAUCAGUGAUUUUGACUCCUCUUCUGAUUC